rnacentral:rRNA from 1 species
UACAGAGGUCUCAAGCGUUGUUCGGAUUCAUUGGGCGUAAAGGGUGCGUAGGUGGCGCGGUAAGUCGGGUGUGAAAUUUCGGAGCUUAACUCCGAAACUGCAUUCGAUACUGCCGUGCUUGAGGACUGGAGAGGAGACUGGAAUUUACGGUGUAGCGGUGAAAUGCGUAGAUAUCGUAAGGAAGACCAGUGGCGAAGGCGGGUCUCUGGACAGUUCCUGACACUGAGACACGAAGGCCAGGGGAGCAAACGGG